AAAAGGAAGGAGCUAUCCACGGUUUCUUCAAGCUUCAAAGGGCCGAAAAAUCUGUCCAAACCAGCCAUCAAAGUAGGCACGCACGAGGACCUCCAAGAGGACCCUACUGUGGAAAUUUGAACUCUUCCUCCAAUUUACUUGCUUGCAUAACUUGGUUUGAAUUCGGAGGUAAAAUGGAGCAGCCCUCUUGAUGUAUUUUUGUUUUAGGGCUUGCUAUUACUUUUGGUUAUGCCUUUGGUUUUGGAUUGUACUUUUGGUAUGGAAAUGUAACCUUUGGACAAAAUGUAUUAUGUAUACUGACGUGUGGUUUGGAGACUGGAUGACUGUUAUUAAGUUUGAACACUUCCGCAUUUAUUGUAUCUAAGUUAUCGAUU